GACGACGCUGGCGGCGUGCUUAACACAUGCAAGUCGAACGGAACUCUUUGGAUCGAGACUUCGGUCAAGUGAAGUUGAGUUUAGUGGCGGACGGGUGAGUAACGCGUGAGGAACCUGCCUUUCAGAGGGGACAACGGUUGGAAACGACUGCUAAUACCGCAUAACGUAUAGAGAUCGCAUGGUCCUUAUACCAAAGAUUUUAUCGCUGAUAGAUGAGCUUGCGUCUGAUUAGAUAGUUGGUGGGGUAACGGCCUACCAAGUCGACGAUCAGUAGCCGGACUGAGAGGUUGAACGGCCACAUUGGGACUGAGAUACGGUCCAGACUCCUACGGGAGGCAGCAGUCGGGAAUAUUGGGCAAUGGGGGAAACCCUGACCCAGCAACGCCGCGUGAAGGAAGAAGGCCUUCGGGUUGUAAACUUCUUUUACCAGGGACGAACACAAUGACGGUACCCGGAGAAAAAGCAACGGCUAACUACGUG
rnacentral:rRNA from 1 species